GCGUCAUUCAUGUCUCAAGAAGGCAUAG
rnacentral:sRNA from 1 species